rnacentral:rRNA from 1 species
GAAAGCCAACCUCAGUUCGGAUUGUAGGCUGCAACUCGCCUACAUGAAGUUGGAAUCGCUAGUAAUCGCGAAUCAGAAUGUCGCGGUGAAUACGUUCCCGGGUCUUGUACACACCGCCCGUCACACCACGAGAGUUUACAACACCCGAAGUCAGUGGCCUAACCGCAAGGAGGGAGCUGCCUAAGGUGGGGUAGAUGAUUGGGGUGAAGUCGUAACAAGGUACC